GACGACGCUGGCGGCGUGCCUAACACAUGCAAGUCGAGCGGAGGAUGCGGCGUAGUAAUACAAAGGAUCCUUAGCGGCGGACGGGUGAGUAACACGUGGGUAACCUGCCUCAGAGUGGGGGAUAGCCUUUCGAAAGGAAGAUUAAUACCGCAUAAGAUUGUAGCGUCACAUGGCGCAGCAAGAAAAGGAGCAAUCCGCUUUGAGAUGGACCCGCGGCGCAUUAGCUAGUUGGUGAGGUAACGGCUCACCAAGGCCACGAUGCGUAGCCGACCUGAGAGGGUGAUCGGCCACAUUGGAACUGAGACACGGUCCAGACUCCUACGGGAGGCAGCAGUGGGGAAUAUUGCACAAUGGGCGAAAGCCUGAUGCAGCAACGCCGCGUGAGUGAUGAAGGCCUUCGGGUCGUAAAGCUCUUUGAUCAGGGAUGAUAAUGACAGUACCUGAAAAACAAGCCACGGCUAACUACGUG
rnacentral:rRNA from 1 species